AGAGGUGUGUAUCAGUUUGCUUUUCCCUUUUUUCCUCCCUCUCGUUUUUGGAGUGAGGCGGAGCCUUUGCCCACUUCUCCCUCACACACACACACGCACACACACAUAUACACACACGCACACACACGUACACACACACACUGGGUUGAGACACCUCUCGCAGUUGUUGAUGCAGACGGGACAGUGGGAAUAUUCUGGAAAGCAGAUAGACAAGGUGUUGUGACACAUUUCCCUUUAGCCUUUUCUUUCACUAUUGCCCCCUGUAACUUGGAGACUAUAGCAAAACUUUAGCUGAACACACAAUACACACUGACACUUAUUAGUUAGCCUACUUUGAUCAGAGCCAAAGAGAUGUAUUCUAGACUUCUACAUCUCUAGAAUUGUGUGAUUCUCCAUAUUAUAUGUUAGCAAAAAAAAAUGAAGAUGAAAAAUAUUAGUUUAACACAAUAAGAUACCCUUAAGGUUUUCUCAUUUCAGGCAUGUUAUGAGUAAGUAGUGCCUCAUCUAGAGUUAGGAGGAAUUGUUACUAGCUAACGGUACAAUUUUGUUAGCUACCAAACCUAUCCUUAUGUUAUUUGCGUGGUAAUGUUAUUAGCAUUCUGUGCCUGUCAUUUGAUCUAAUGUCAGGUCGAACAUCACCAAACCUGAUUGUUAUAUCAACAUAUCUAAUUGUCAUCAUAAAAGUCAAUAGAUAAUAAUAAAUGAGACUUUUAUGUAAACUUUUAUGUUUACAUACAUUUUUACAUAUGACGUUUUAUGUAAACUACAUAUGUAAAUGUACUUAAACACUGGAGGUUAUGUUUUCACUUUGGCUCUCUGCUUGAACGUACUAACAGCUGGUAAACACACCUCAAGGACCUCCUCUAAUAAAUUGUUAAACUAAUAAUGGAUUACAUUUAUUUUUCACACAGAUUAGUAGUUAUUAGGACCAUUGGUGAAACAACAUUUACACAAACUACUUAAAUGAAAAUACUAACAAAAAUAUUUGUUGUACAGAUUUUGUGUUUGGUUUAAAGGGAGUAUGGUUGUGUUUAAUGGACUUUAGUUUCAACUGCUUGUUGACUCAGGGCAUUUUUUUUCUCCACAUGCUACAGGUGCAGAUAGCAGCAACUGCAGCUGUGCCUUGAUGUCAUGCUUAAAACAUGCAAUCUACUCCCCUCCCUUACGUUUAGUUCCAGUCUCAGUGCAAAACCUCUCAACUCCAGACAUCAAAGAGACACAUGCACCUGCGAAUAAAUCACAGCAAAUGCUGAACCAUCCGACAGCGGUCACCUGACCUCCUCGGCGACGCCAUCUAGUGCCUCAGGCUGCACCAGACUGAACAAAGACAUUGCUGAGGAACUGAUGGCCGACUGCUUCUGUGGGGUCUCUUCCAGGUCAUGUCGUC